GCCGGAGUGGCGGAAUUGGCAGACGCGCACGACUCAAAAUCGUGUGGUGGCAACAUCAUGGGGGUUCGAUUCCCUCCUUCGGCACCA
rnacentral:tRNA from 1 species